UUUCUGGCUUCUCUUUGGCAUAUCUGAAUAGCCAGCGUCACAUUCUUGCACUUUGGGGCUGUUAUUAAGUUAAAUAAGGGUGACUUGAACACAAGCACUGCGAUACUGAGAAAGUCUAU